GAUGAAGAACGUAGCGAAAUGCGAUAAGUAAUGUGAAUUGCAGAAUUCAGUGAAUCAUCGAAUCUUUGAACGCACCUUGCGCCCUUUGGACAUUCCGAAGGGCAUGCCUGUUUGAGUAUCAUGAACACCUCAACUCUCACGGCUUGUCCGUGAUGAGCUUGGACUUUGGGUGUCUUGCCGGCCUGUGGUCGGCUCCUCUCAAAUGGAUCAGCUUGCCAGUGUUUGGUGGCAUCACAGGUGUGAUAACUAUCUGCGCUUGUGGUUUUCCAUCAGAUAACCUUCAGUGAUAUGGAGGUUCGCUGGAGCUCACAAAUGUCUCUCCUUAGUGAGGACAGCUCUUUGAACGUUUGAUCUCAAAUCAGGUAGGACUACCCGCUGAACUUAAGCAUAUCAAUAAGCGGAGGA
rnacentral:misc_RNA from 1 species